CCUAGGGUGGCAGCAGUGGGGAAUAUUGGACAAUGGGCGAAAGCCUGAUCCAGCCAUGCCGCGUGUGUGAAGAAGGCCUUCGGGUUGUAAAGCACUUUCAGUGGGGAAGAAAGCCUUGGGGCUAAUACCCUCGAGGAAGGACAUCACCCACAGAAGAAGCACCGGCUAACUCCGUGCCAGCAGCCGCGGUAAUACGGAGGGUGCGAGCGUUAAUCGGAAUUACUGGGCGUAAAGCGCGCGUAGGCGGUCUGAUAAGCCGGUUGUGAAAGCCCCGGGCUCAACCUGGGAACGGCAUCCGGAACUGUCAGGCUAGAGUGCAGGAGAGGAAGGUAGAAUUCCCGGUGUAGCGGUGAAAUGCGUAGAGAUCGGGAGGAAUACCAGUGGCGAAGGCGGCCUUCUGGACUGACACUGACGCUGAGGUGCGAAAGCGUGGGUAGCAAACAGGAUUAGAUACCCCAGUAGUC
rnacentral:rRNA from 1 species